GAUGAACGCUGGCGGCGUGCCUAAUACAUGCAAGUCGAGCGAACAGACGAGGAGCUUGCUCCUCUGACGUUAGCGGCGGACGGGUGAGUAACACGUGGAUAACCUACCUAUAAGACUGGGAUAACUUCGGGAAACCGGAGCUAAUACCGGAUAAUAUAUUGAACCGCAUGGUUCAAUAGUGAAAGACGGUUUUGCUGUAACUUAUAGAUGGAUCCGCGCCGCAUUAGCUAGUUGGUAAGGUAACGGCUUACCAAGGCAACGAUGCGUAGCCGACCUGAGCGGGUGAUCGGCCACACUGGAACUGAGACACGGUCCAGACUCCUACGGGAGGCAGCAGUAGGGAAUCUUCCGCAAUGGGCGAAAGCCUGACGGAGCAACGCCGCGUGAGUGAUGAAGGUCUUCGGAUCGUAAAACUCUGUUAUUAGGGAAGAACAAAUGUGUAAGUAACUAUGCACGUCUUGACGGUACCUAAUCAGAAAGCCACGGCUAACUACGUG
rnacentral:rRNA from 1 species